UACGGGGGGGGCAAGCGUUGUUCGGAAUUACUGGGCGUAAAGGGCGCGUAGGCGGCCUUCUAAGUCGGACGUGAAAUCCCUCGGCUUAACCGAGGAACUGCGUCCGAGACUGAAAGGCUUGAAUCCGGGAGAGGGAUGUGGAAUUCCAGGUGUAGCGGUGAAAUGCGUAGAGAUGUGGAGGAACACCAGUGGCGAAGGCGGCUUUCUGGUCUGUAACUGACGCUGAGGCGCGAAAGCGUGGGGAGCAAACAGG
rnacentral:rRNA from 1 species